UUGCCUCUGCCUGCCCCACAUAGAUCUUCCCGCGUGGACUUGCGCUAAAAGCAGUUCCUGGAUGAUGGCUGAGCUCCCCAGGACACCGAGUCGGCCGCAGCUGCAGAGGGCGGAGCAGGAACAGCGGCAUUAGCACUGGCCGUCCGGCCGGUCACUCCUCUCCGUCUGACUCAAGGAGCCUGGCAGGUGCCGCCGUCCUGAUGGGUGGCCAAAGCAAGACACAUCUCCAGAAUGUCCUCGUCACGUGGCUGCAGGAUGGGAAAAUGAAGCCGCCGCCCACAGGAGUGAGGCGAGCCCCACCCCCAGCCACCCUCCUGCAUCUACUAACCAGUCAUCCUCCGCUGGAGACAUCACCCAGCUCCUGCCCAGACCGUGGGAGGAGGAGUCACCUCGCUCACAGCCAGGGAUGGGGGCAGUGUCAGUUUUGGUGUUGCCAUUUCAAUAACAUUAUUUUUUCUUGC